rnacentral:lncRNA from 1 species
GUUUCAAAGGAGAAGAUUUUUUAAAGUAAGUCAACAUGAUUAACAAAUUGUGAAAAAAGUCUUUAAAGGGCAAUAACUCCUUAAGUGGUCAAUUGACAAUUUUGGUCAAUUUGACUUAAUUGAAGAUCUUACUUUGCUGAACAUUAUUGCUGUUUACAGUUUAUUUCUAUCUAUAAUUAUAUUCAAGAUAAUAAACAAAAACAGCAAAAUUUCCUUAAAAUUAUCAAUUCAGGGGCAGCAACCCAACAACAGGUUGUCUGAUUCAUCUGAAAAUUUCAGGGCAGAUAGAUCGUGACCUGAUAAACAAUAUUACCCACGUCAGAUUUGCUCUAAAUGCUUUGGUUUUUGAGUUAUAAGCCAAAAACUGCAUUUGACCCCUAUGUUCUAUUUUAGCAAUGGCGACCAUGUUUGUGAUAGAUCAUAAUUUCGGAAACAAUUUACAAACUAGAUACCAUAAGGAACAUUCAGUUAAAGUUUGGAAGUAUUUGGCCAAGUAGUUUCAGAGGAGAAGAUUUUUGUAAAAGAUUACUAAGAUUUACGAAAAAUGGUUAAAAAUUGACUAUAAAGGGCAAUAACUCCUAAAGGGGUCAACUGACCAUUUCCGUCAUGUUGACUUAUUUGUAAAUCUUACUUUGCUGAACAUUAUUCCUGUUUACAGUUU